CGGUUAAGUUAGAAAGGGCGCACGGUGGAUGCCUUGGCACUAGGAGCCGAUGAAGGACGGGACGAACACCGAUAUGCUUCGGGGAGCUGUAAGCAAGCUUUGAUCCGGAGAUUUCCGAAUGGGGAAACCCACCACUCGUAAUGGAGUGGUAUCCAUAUCUGAAUACAUAGGAUAUGAGAAGGCAGACCCGGGGAACUGAAACAUCUAAGUACCCGGAGGAAGAGAAAGCAAAUGCGAUUCCCUGAGUAGCGGCGAGCGAAACGGGACCAGCCCAAACCAAGAGGCUUGCCUCUUGGGGUUGUAGGACACUCUGUACGGAGUUACAAAGGAACGAGGUAGAUGAAGAGGUCUGGAAAGGCCCGCCAUAGGAGGUAACAGCCCUGUAGUCAAAACUUCGUUCUCUCCUGAGUGGAUCCUGAGUACGGCGGAACACGUGAAAUUCCGUCGGAAUCCGGGAGGACCAUCUCCCAAGGCUAAAUACUCCCUAGUGACCGAUAGUGAACCAGUACCGUGAGGGAAAGGUGAAAAGCACCCCGGAAGGGGAGUGAAAGAGAUCCUGAAACCGUGUGCCUACAAGUAGUCAGAGCCCGUUAAUGGGUGAUGGCGUGCCUUUUGUAGAAUGAACCGGCGAGUUACGAUCCCGUGCAAGGUUAAGCAGAAGAUGCGGAGCCGCAGCGAAAGCGAGUCUGAAUAGGGCGAAUUGAGUACGUGGUCGUAGACCCGAAACCAGGUGAUCUACCCAUGUCCAGGGUGAAGUUCAGGUAACACUGAAUGGAGGCCCGAACCCACGCACGUUGAAAAGUGCGGGGAUGAGGUGUGGGUAGGGGUGAAAUGCCAAUCGAACCUGGAGAUAGCUGGUUCUCUCCGAAAUAGCUUUAGGGCUAGCCUCAAGGUAAGAGUCUCGGAGGUAGAGCACUGAUUGGACUAGGGGCCCCUACCGGGUUACCGAAUUCAGUCAAACUCCGAAUGCCGAUGACUUAUCCUUGGGAGUCAGACUGCGAGUGAUAAGAUCCGUAGUCGAAAGGGAAACAGCCCAGACCGCCAGCUAAGGUCCCAAAGUAUACGUUAAGUGGAAAAGGAUGUGGAGUUGCUUAGACAACCAGGAUGUUGGCUUAGAAGCAGCCACCAUUUAAAGAGUGCGUAAUAGCUCACUGGUCGAGUGACUCUGCGCCGAAAAUGUACCGGGGCUAAACGUAUCACCGAAGCUGCGGACUGUUCUUCGAACAGUGGUAGGAGAGCGUUCUAAGGGCUGUGAAGCAAGACCGGAAGGACUUGUGGAGCGCUUAGAAGUGAGAAUGCCGGUAUGAGUAGCGAAAGAGGGGUGAGAAUCCCCUCCACCGAAUGCCUAAGGUUUCCUGAGGAAGGCUCGUCCGCUCAGGGUUAGUCGGGACCUAAGCCGAGGCCGAAAGGCGUAGGCGAUGGACAACAGGUUGAUAUUCCUGUACCACCUCCUCACCAUUUGAGCAAUGGGGGACGCAGGAGGAUAGGGUAAGCGCGGUAUUGGAUAUCCGCGUCCAAGCAGUUAGGCUGGGAAAUAGGAAAAUCCGUUUCCCGUGAAGGCUGAGCUGUGAUGGCGAGCGAAUUAUAGUAGCGAAGUUCCUGAUUCCACACUGCCAAGAAAAGCCUCUAGCGAGGUGAGAGGUGCCCGUACCGCAAACCGACACAGGUAGGCGAGGAGAGAAUCCUAAGGUGAUCGAGAGAACUCUCGUUAAGGAACUCGGCAAAAUGACCCCGUAACUUCGGGAGAAGGGGUGCUCUGUUAGGGUGCAAGCCCGAGAGAGCCGCAGUGAAUAGGCCCAGGCGACUGUUUAGCAAAAACACAGGUCUCUGCGAAGCCGUAAGGCGAAGUAUAGGGGCUGACGCCUGCCCGGUGCUGGAAGGUUAAGAGGAGCGCUUAGCGUAAGCGAAGGUGCGAAUUGAAGCCCCAGUAAACGGCGGCCGUAACUAUAACGGUCCUAAGGUAGCGAAAUUCCUUGUCGGGUAAGUUCCGACCCGCACGAAAGGCGCAACGAUCUGGGCACUGUCUCAACGAGAGACUCGGUGAAAUUAUAGUACCUGUGAAGAUGCAGGUUACCCGCGACAGGACGGAAAGACCCCGUGGAGCUUUACUGCAGCCUGAUAUUGAAUGUUGGUACAGCUUGUACAGGAUAGGUAGGAGCCUUGGAAACCGGAGCGCCAGCUUCGGUGGAGGCAUCGGUGGGAUACUACCCUGGCUGUAUUGACCUUCUAACCCGCCGCCCUUAUCGGGCGGGGAGACAGUGUCAGGUGGGCAGUUUGACUGGGGCGGUCGCCUCCUAAAAGGUAACGGAGGCGCCCAAAGGUUCCCUCAGAAUGGUUGGAAAUCAUUCGCAGAGUGUAAAGGCACAAGGGAGCUUGACUGCGAGACCUACAAGUCGAGCAGGGACGAAAGUCGGGCUUAGUGAUCCGGUGGUUCCGCAUGGAAGGGCCAUCGCUCAACGGAUAAAAGCUACCCCGGGGAUAACAGGCUUAUCUCCCCCAAGAGUCCACAUCGACGGGGAGGUUUGGCACCUCGAUGUCGGCUCAUCGCAUCCUGGGGCUGUAGUCGGUCCCAAGGGUUGGGCUGUUCGCCCAUUAAAGCGGUACGCGAGCUGGGUUCAGAACGUCGUGAGACAGUUCGGUCCCUAUCCGUCGCGGGCGCAGGAAAUUUGAGAGGAGCUGUCCUUAGUACGAGAGGACCGGGAUGGACGCACCGCUGGUGUACCAGUUGUUCUGCCAAGGGCAUCGCUGGGUAGCUAUGUGCGGACGGGAUAAGUGCUGAAAGCAUCUAAGCAUGAAGCCCCCCUCAAGAUGAGAUUUCCCAUUCCGCAAGGAAGUAAGAUCCCUGAAAGAUGAUCAGGUUGAUAGGUCUGAGGUGGAAGUGUGGCGACACAUGGAGCUGACAGAUACUAAUCGAUCGAGGACUUAACCAAUUU
rnacentral:rRNA from 1 species